CCUACGGGAGGCAGCAGUGGGGAAUAUUGGACAAUGGGCGAAAGCCUGAUCCAGCAAUGCCGCGUGAGUGAUGAAGGCCUUAGGGUUGUAAAGCUCUUUUACCAGGGAUGAUAAUGACAGUACCUGGAGAAUAAGCUCCGGCUAACUCCGUGCCAGCAGCCGCGGUAAUACGGAGGGAGCUAGCGUUGUUCGGAAUUACUGGGCGUAAAGCGUACGUAGGCGGUUAUUCAAGUCAGAGGUGAAAGCCUGGAGCUCAACUCCAGAACUGCCUUUGAAACUAGAUAGCUAGAAUCUUGGAGAGGUGAGUGGAAUUCCGAGUGUAGAGGUGAAAUUCGUAGAUAUUCGGAAGAACACCAGUGGCGAAGGCGACUCACUGGACAAGUAUUGACGCUGAGGUACGAAAGCGUGGGGAGCAAACAGGAUUAGAUACCCUGGUAGUCCACGCCGUAAACGAUGAUAACUAGCUGUUCGGGCUCUACGAGCUUGAGUGGCGCAGCUAACGCAUUAAGUUAUCCGCCUGGGGAGUACGGUCGCAAGAUUAAAACUUAAAGGAAUUGACGG
rnacentral:rRNA from 1 species